rnacentral:rRNA from 1 species
GGAGGAAAGUAGGGGAUCGCAAGACCUUGCGCUCUUGGAGCGGCCGAUGUCUGAUUAGCUAGUUGGUGAGGUAAAGGCUUACCAAGGCGACGAUCAGUAGCUGGUCUGAGAGGACGACCAGCCACACUGGGACUGAGACACGGCCCAGACUCCUACGGGAGGCAGCAGUGGGGAAUUUUGGACAAUGGGGGAAACCCCGAUCCAGCCACGCCGCGUGAGUGAAGAAGGCCUUCGGGUUGUAAAGCUCUUUCAGCCGGAACGAAACGGUCACGGCUAAUAUCUGUGACUACUGACGGUACCGGAAGAAGAAGCACCGGCUAACUACGUGCCAGCAGCCGCGGUAAUACGUAGGGUGCAAGCGUUAAUCGGAAUUACUGGGCGUAAAGCGUGCGCAGGCGGUUUUGUAAGUCAGAUGUGAAAUCCCCGGGCUUAACCUGGGAACUGCGUUUGAAAAUCACUAG